AUGCACGGCCUCACAGAAAGCCCACUUGAGCUGGGAGGGGAAGUCGUUCCCUGCAGAUGCUCGGAUGAAAACGAGAUAAAUAGUGAACUCUUUGAAGACCGGACCCCUGGUAAGCCCGGGUUCUUCACAUACGAUUCUACAUGUCAAAUUGCCCAAGAGAUUGCUGAGAAAAUUCAACAACGAAAUCAGUAUGAAAGAAAAGGUGAAAAGACACCUAAGCUUACCGUGACAAUCAGAGCUUUGUUGCAGAACCUGAAGGAAAAGAUCGCCCUUUUGAAAGACUUAUUGCUAAGAGCUGUGUCAACACAUCAGAUAACACAACUUGAAGGGGAUCGAAGACAGAACCUAUUGGAUGAUCUUGUAACUCGAGAGAGACUACUUCUGGCAUCCUUUAAGAAUGAGGGUGCUGAACCAGAUCUAAUCAGGUCCAGCCUGAUGAGUGGAGAGGCUAAGCGAGGAGCACCUAACCCUUGGCUCUUUGAAGAGCCAGAGGAGACCAGAGGCUUGGGUUUUGAUGAAAUCAGACAACAGCAGCAGAAAAUUAUCCAAGCCCUGUGUCUCUCUCUCACCUGA